rnacentral:lncRNA from 1 species
AUACUGAUGCAUAUACUUUCAGACACUUUAAUGUGUUACUAUUUUGUUACCUGAUUUUUUUCCCACUUAAAAUACUUUUCCAUGUCAACAAGUACACAUUACCAUAUGAUUUUAACUGAAUCUACAUUUUAUGAUGUGAGUGUACCCUAACUUAACCAACCCCUUUUGCUGGAUCUUUAUAUUGUUACCAAUUUUCCCUUAUAUACUGUCAUAUGUACAUGAUCACCAUCUUUAUAUAUUAAUUUUCCUUCACAUUUUUAUAUUUCUUAGAUAAAAUACAUCUAAAAUUAUUUUCUUAUUUUAUAGAGGUAGAAUUACUGGAUCAAUGUUAAGAAAUAUUGGAAUUAUUUCCUAAAAUGUAGAUUUGGAAUUUUAGGUCAAAGUUUAAAUGUAUUAUCUUGACUUCUUAAACAUAUCACCAAUUACUGUCCCAAAGCUUUGACCAGUUUAUAUAUCCAUCAGGAGCUCAUCACACAUGAUGCAAUGUACUUAUCUACAAGAGUUUCUUUUUACAUAUUUUCCCAAUAUAACAAGUAAAAUAUAAAAUUAUUUCUCAUUGUCUUCCUUUUUGUGUUAGAAACAAGUCUUUUAAAAUGUUAUUAGCUGUUAGGUCUUUUUUUGUAUUAAGUAGGAUGUAUUUGUUACCUAUUACAACCUUAAAAUUAUCACACACUUAGCCACUUAACACAAAUUUAUGAUCUCAAUUCUGCAGGUCAGGCGUCUGGUGAGCUCAGCUGGUUCCUCUGGCCCAGGUUUCACAGGCUGAGAUCAAGUUGUUGGCAAGCUGGACUCUUAUCUGGAGGCUCUGAGAGGGAGGCUGUUUCCAAGCUCAUCCAGGCUGCUGACAGAAUUCAGUUAUUUGGGCUCAGGGCUGAGGUCUCUGUUUCCUUGCUGGCUGUCAGCCAGGAGCCUCUCUCAGCCUGAAUUCCUCACCACGUGGACCCUCCAUUUUCAAGCCAGCAACUUCCAGUUGAGUCUUCUUCAUGCUUUGAAUCUCUCUGAGUUCUGUUGCCUCUCUUCUGCCUCCAUCUGGAGAAAUUUCUCUGCUCUUAAGGGCUUGUGUGAUGUGAUUAAAUCCAACCGGAUAGGACAAUCCAGGCUAAUCUUUCUGUCUUAGGUCUGUAAACUUAAUUAUAUCUACAAAGUCCCUUUUGCCAGGUAAAGUAUAUUAGUUAGUAUUCUCUGGAUAAAUAAGCAAUGAGAUAUACAUCUAUGUCUAUCUCUAUUGAUGUAUAUCUCUGUGUAUGUAUUUAUAUAUGUAUGUAUGAAUGUAUGUAUCUAACAUUUGCCAAAGUCCUUAGAACCAGGGAAGCAGAUGGUAUAAAUUCCAGUUCUAUGGCCUCAAUCAGUGAGACAGAAAAAAGGAGCAAAUUCCUCUUUCCUCUGCCUUUUGUUUCAUUCCUGCCCUCAAUGGAUUGGAUGAUGCACACCCAUAUUGGAGAGGGGAAUCUACCUUAUUGAGCUCAUCCAUUCAAAUGCUAAUAUCAUCCAGGAAUACCCUCACAGACACAGAAAUAUUGUUUAAUUUGGACACACCAUGGCCAGUCAAGGUGAAAUAACCAUCAUGAGGUAAUGUAUUUAUUGGUUCCAGGGGCUAGGGUGUGAAACUUUGGAGGUCCAUUCUGCCUACCACACCAUACAAAGGCUUCACUAUUUGGUUUGCCUCGUGCCUGCCUCAAUUCUAGAGUAGGAAUAUGAUGUUUUCGUCUUUUGGAACAUCUGUAGUAAGAAUUAUUUACCACUUAUCUUAUUAAAUUAUAAAUAAACAUAUUCAAUCAUAGCAAAAUUAGAGUGAAGAGCCCAAAGAAAUCCAUCUAUCUAUUAUCCAACUUCAACAAUAAUCCAUAUUUGCCAGUUGUAAGACACCUAUUUGCUCAGACAGUGAUUUUUUCUUUUUUGUUUCAAUAUAUCCUUUGGUGGAAGAAAAUGUCUUAUUUGUGAGGACUAAUUAAGCUUCAUUUUGGCAGCGGCAGGGGGUGGGGGGAUUGUAGUAGUUUUAUAUAAUGCAAAUAACAGAAAACAUUUAAUUUUUCUUCCUUUUUUUUUUACUAGAAUAUAGUUGAUUUAUAGUGUUGUAUCAAUUUCUGCUGUAUAAUAUAGUGACCUAAUCAUACAUAUAUGUGUACAUUCUUUUUCUCAUACUAUCUUCCAUCAUGUUCUACCCCAAGGUACUGGAUAUGGUUCCCUGUGCUGUACAGUAGGACCUCAUUGCUUAUCCAUUCUAAAUGUAAUAGUUUGCAUCUACUGGACUUUCUGUUGUGGCUCAGAGGGUUAAGAACCCUACUAGUAACCAUGAGGAUGAAGGUUUGAUUCCUGGUUUUGCUCAGUGGGUUAAGAAUCUGGCAUUGCCACAAGCUCUGAUGUAGGUGGCAGAUGUGGCUCAGAUCCUGUGUUUCUAUGGCUGUGGUAGGCUGACAGCUGCAGCUCUGAUUUGACCCCUAGCUUGGGAACUUCCAUGUGCCCUAAAAAGAAAACCGUUUGCUCUACCAAAAGUAUGGCACAAAUGAAUCUAUUUACAAGAGAGAAACAGACUCAAGGACAUAGAGAACAGACUUGUGGUUCAUGGGGGAAGAGGUAGGAAAAUGUUGAUAUUUUAACAAAGUAAGAAGAAUACUAGUUCCUUCCUCUCAUUUGGUGGAUGGAAAAUAACUUUGGAGUAUUAAAGUCUUGUCUAAUUUACAUAAUUACCAUUAUGAUUCAUGGACAUUUUUUAUUAAUUGUCUCACAAUAUAGGAUUCCCUUAUUUCAUUCUUGUCUGUUACAUAAGGGAAAGCUGAAUGAAAGGGAAUGGGAGAGGUAGUAGCUCUUCUCGGAGAAUUUAAGAAAUAAAAACUCAGGUUGCACAACAUUUCUGCUCCCCUCGCUUUUCUCUUGAUGCCAAGCACUGGGUAUUUGCAGCGCAAGUUAUAAUAGAACUUAUUUAAGAAGAUAUUUUACUAUAAUAACAUGAAUCAUUGCCAUCAUUGGACAAUUUGGGGGUAUAAAUAGACAAAAAUCCAUGGAUAAUCCAAAAAUAACAUUUCCGCAUUUGCAAUGUGUUUUCAUAACGUAUUUAACUGAGCAUGUGCUGAUGUUCUGGGAAUUUAGUUGGAACAGAAUAAUAAAGUACAGCAUAAACUCUGGCUUCAGUCUGUGGACACCUGGCUCUGAGAGUGGUGGAAGAGAUUUCUCUUUCCAAGUGUUUUCCUAUGAAGUGGAAAAUCAUGCCCAACUGUUUUGUUGAAAAGAGCUCCUCUCUAUGCAAACAUUUUUUUUAGAUUAAACUACAUAUGAAACAUUGUUUAGAGAAUCAUCUUCCAAUUUAUCAUUUGUUACCAGACUGUAUUAUCUCUUAUUAUUUUUGUUUCCAGUUUUCGAGUGAUACAUUUCUUCUCUACAAAAUUGAACACUUAUGCUUUUAAUUCCCAGCUUUCCCAUCUCUUCCAGAACCAAGCUCCAUUAAGUAUCACUUCUUUUGCCUCCAUCCAUCUUUCUCACCUUUUCAAUCACUCUGAUUUCACCAUUGCUCACACAUAGGACUAACUACCAAGAAACACAGUCACUCAUUUCUUUUUUUUCCCUUUACCAAUUAACUUAAAUAUCCACAUCAUCUGCACCAAUGUGUUUUUAAAUUUGUUCAGAUUUAUUUUCUGUCCCCAUCAUGUUUACGUGGCAUUCUUCACAACCCCCAGCAAUUCCUUGAAUCUGAUGGCCAUUUUCUCAGUUGUCAUAUUCUUUUAAGGUUUUGUUUCAAUCAGCACCAUUAACCCACCCACCUGCCUGCCCUUUCUUUGCCAAAAUCUUACUUUCGUGUCUCUUUAGACAUUUUAUUACCUUGUUCUUACACUUCUCCUCCAACUACUCUCUUUUCUUUUUUCACAUGUGAUAUCAACUUAGAGGUAAUUGUCCCAGGAGCAUCUAUUUCUGGUUGUUUGCUUCCUUCUUUCUGUUUUGAGCUCUUCUCCUGGGUAAUCAAAUUCCAUGGCUUCAACUCUCCUUUCCAUGGAAAUGGCUUCUAAAUCGAUGUUUAUGCUUUUGAAUUUCCCCCUAAAGUUCAGUCUCAGUUUUCCAGUUUCUGGCUUGACAUUUCUGUCUGAAUAUUCUUCUAGCACAUUCUAUUUAAUCUAUUCAAAGAAAUUGCGCUUCUUGUCUUCCCUUUUCAAUCUGUUUCUGUCAUUGUUUCCCAUUUUUGUUACAACUACUACUUUGCCAUUUAGGCUCAACAUUUCGAGUUUAGUUUUUGUUCUCGUUGUGCCUCUCUCUUGUCAAAACAAAUGUUGAUAGGCCUGUUUGCGUCUAUACCCAUAAUGAGUGUCUGUCUCCUUCCAUAAUAAAUACAUUUAUGGAGUUCCCACUGUGGCUCAGUGGUAAUGAACCUGACUAGUAUGCAUGAAUAUGCCGGUUUGAUCCCUGGCCCUGCUAAGUGGAUUAAGGAUCUGGUGUUGCCAUUUGCUGUGGUGUAGGUUGCAGACUCAGCUCUGGUGUUGCUGUGGCUGCAGCAUAGGCCAGCAGCUGCAGCUCCAAUUAGACCCCUAGCCUGGAAACUUCCAUAUGCUAUGGGUGCGGUAUAUGGUUAAAAAAAAUGAAAUAAAUAAAUAAAUACCUACAUUUAAUCUCUCACUUCCAAUGCCCAUGACCUCUUUUAUAUUUCGGGACACUAUUAUCUUUGACUAGGAAUACAGAAAAAGCAUGUUAACUUUUCUCUCCUGUCUACUCUACCUGGUUAGCAUUCAAAAUCUUGCCAGUUUAAUCUCUCCUGAAUUUAGUUUUUAUGAUGUCACCAUCUACUUCAAAUUGUCAAUAACUUUCUUUUGUUAAAAGAGUAGUUGUAAGCUGGGGGUGCUUUUGCCCACUGGGGGUCAUUUGGCAAUAUCUGAAGACAUACUUCAUGCUCAUAAUAGGGCAGAAGGGUGCCUGGAAUGCUCUUAAACAUCCCACAAUACAAAGAUGGCUCACGACAGAAAAAAAAAAUGGUCCAAAAUGUCAAUUGUACUGGGGUCGAACAACCCUACUUUAGAGAAUAAUUUACAAAUAAUUAAUUUGACAUUCUUAUCUCAUCUACACUUCAUUUAUAACCCCAUGAGAUUUUUAUAAUUGUUCUUUCUUUUCCACCUCUGGGUCUUUGCUUGUACAUUUUCUUUCCUACUGAUGUUUUCUUUUCUUACAUUGUCCUCUC